rnacentral:rRNA from 1 species
AACAGGAUUAGAUACCCUGGUAGUCCAUGCCGUAAACGAUGAGUGCUAGGUGUUGGAGGGUUUCCGCCCUUCAGUGCCGGAGCUAACGCAUUAAGCACUCCGCCUGGGGAGUACGACCGCAAGGUUGAAACUCAAAGGAAUUGACGGGGGCCCGCACAAGCGGUGGAGCAUGUGGUUUAAUUCGAAGCUACGCGAAGAACCUUACCAGGUCUUGACAUCUUGCGCCAACCCUAGAGAUAGGGCGUUUCCUUCGGGAACGCAAUGACAGGUGGUGCAUGGUCGUCGUCAGCUCGUGUCGUGAGAUGUUGGGUUAAGUCCCGCAACGAGCGCAACCCUUGUUACUAGUUGCCAGCAUUAAGUUGGGCACUCUAGUGAGACUGCCGGUGACAAACCGGAGGAAGGUGGGGACGACGUCAGAUCAUCAUGCCCCUUAUGACCUGGGCUACACACGUGCUACAAUGGACGGUACAACGAGUCGCGAACUCGCGAGGGCAAGCAAAUCUCUUAAAACCGUUCUCAGUUCGGACUGCAGGCUGCAACUCGCCUGCACGAAGUCAGAAUCGCUAGUAAUCGCGGAUCAGCAUGCCGCGGUGAAUACGUUCCCGGGCCUUGUACACACCGCCCGUCACACCAUGAGAGUUUGUAACACCCAAAGUCGGUGGGGUAACCUUUUAGGAGCCAGCCGCCUAAGGUGGGACAGAUGAUUAGGGUGAAGUCGUAACAAGGUAACC